GUUUGCAUUUAGGUACUUUAAUUUCAAAAAUGACUAUUGCUGACAAGAAAGUAAAUAGCCAAAAUCUAUCAUUAGGCAAUGAACAGAAUUUAAAUGUUGAGGAGAA
rnacentral:lncRNA from 1 species